GAUGAAGAACGUAGCGAAAUGCGAUAAGUAAUGCGAAUUGCAGAAUUCCAGUGAGUCAUCGAAUCUUUGAACGCACAUUGCGCCCAUUGGUAUUCCGAUGGGCAUGCCUGUUCGAGCGUCAUUUCAACCCUCAAGCCCCCGGGCUUGGUGUUGGGGAUCGGCGAGCCUCCGCGCCCGCCGUCCCCUAAAUCUAGUGGCGGUCUCGCUGUAGCUUCCUCUGCGUAGUAGCACACCUCGCACUGGGAAACAGCGCGGCCACGCCGUUAAACCCCCAACUUCUGAACGUUUGACCUCGGAUCAGGUAGGAAUACCCGCUGAACUUAAGCAUAUCAAUAAGCGGAGGA
rnacentral:misc_RNA from 1 species